rnacentral:lncRNA from 1 species
UCGCUCCAGUGCUCGCAGAAUCCUGCCUUUAGUGAGCAUCAGACAUAACAUAGGCAUGACCCACAGCUCUUGUGCAAUUAUUGAGGCAUCUCACAAUGUGUGUUAACUCUGCACAGCACCUGGGAAAAAUGUUUAUCUCAGCUAAACAAGACAGUUCUUGCACACCAGUGCUUGCAUUCAGUGGGAGAACAUGCGGGAAAGCAGAAGGGCAAUCCAGGACAAGAAUAUUUAGGCUACAAUACAGAAACUGAGGCUGUCUCUGAGGCUGCAGCAGCUCUCUCUGGGGAUGCAAACCGUCUCUGAAGGACUGGGAAUGCAAAGCACAAAAGGACUGAGGAUUUUGGUGGGAAACUAUGAGUGCAGUUUAAGAAGGGAAGAAUAUGAUUAGAGAACAACAGACAGAUUUUAAAGCCUCACUCACCCAGAAGCAAAAGGAGAAAAUUAUUUUUUAGAGGUAAGAACAUGGGUUAUGCCAGUGUAACCCUGGAGAUCUCCAUGAGUCAGUGGGAAAUGUGGCAUGCAACAGUCUCUUCUGUGGAUUAGACUUUGUAACACCAUGCUAGCACUCAAGAGUUUGUGUACUACCCUUUGAAAACACUAAAGCAAGAGAGGAAUUCCUCCCUCAUCCCUCAUCAUCAAUAAAAUAUUGUAACUAGAGCCUGUUGAAGGACAACUGAGAAAGGCAGGGCCACAAAAACACAUAUGGGCAGAAAAGGUCAAGCAAUCAGCCUGCAUUCAGUAUUGGGUGUCUGUCUGCCACACUGAGCUCUGCAGCUCAGAGCUACCCACAGGAAGCUGCAAAAGACACAUUUACAACGUGGCUAAGGCUGGGAUUUAGUGGUAGGUUUCAUGAAAUCCAGGCAGCUGGAAGGAGUGGCUCUCCACUCCAUGCCUUAUGCCAGAGAAUGUCCUAGUGCCUUGGGCAUAUGGGUGGUGCCUUGCAAGGUUCCUGGGUGCUGCUGGAGAGAUGCUCACCCAUGUGCCUGCAAAGGCAGCAGCAACUGCAGCAUGGCCAAGACCAGAGUGAGAGCAGCCUCAGCACUGACAGAGCUGAGCCACUGUGCAAACAAGUGCCCUGUGUGCAGCCCUCCCUUCCCUGGGACACACAACAGCCAUGCCCAGAGUCUGAAGGCAGCCAGCAGCAAUAAAUAAUUCCUUCUGGCUGAGCUGCUCCUAAAGGAAGAGGAGGCAAUGGCCUCAGCACACAGUGCACAACUCAGCCUCCCAAAAAAAGAGUGGGAGAGCCCAUCACUACAUGGUAAAAUUGGGUGAUACAGCUGCAAAUUUCCUUCUCAGUCCACUGGGCAGGCAAUGGCCCUCAAGUUACCAGCACUUAAUAUGAGGCUGUGCAUGUGUUUAAAUUGGAUUUGGAGGCAAUGACAGCAGAUUCCCCCCACCCCACCCCACAAAGCCUGUGCAGUUCAUUGUGAGGGCUUCAAAUGAGUGGGAUUAAGGAACUGGUCUGAAUUUGAAGUAACUGUGUUUAUCUUGUGGAGAGUGUAUUUUUGAAGUCAGAUGAGUUCUGUGGUCUGGUUUGUCACACAGCUGGACCAACACAUGCUGGCGGGGGAGACAGGGGAGGCAGGGCUACUUACCCAGGCAUCCUUUGUGGGAGGAACACCCAUGGAGCCAUCCUCCAAAACCCCGGCAGCACUGUCUAACUAGUGGAACAGCACAUACAGAUUAGGGUUUCCCUUUGCCUGAGUUUCAUGGGGUGAAAAGAGAAAAAAGACACAUGUUUUCAUUCCCUCUGCCUGCAAAACAGCCUCUCAUCCACAAAGCACAGAGCUUCUGUGAGAUAAGAGCCUGUGGGGAAGCCAAGAUCUACCCCUCAUUUUUAUUGAUGUUUACACUUGCCUUUUAAUGAGCUCCAGCAGGUUCCUGCUUCCAGCUGCAGUUGGCCCUUUUCAAAGUUCAAGGUCUCAUUUUGCAUUAUCGUUCCAACGCCAAGUGCACCCUUAGGGAGGAAAGGAGCAACCAGGAGUUCUCUUCUGAGAAGCAGCACCAGUUUAAGCAGCCCCUAACCCAGUAGUGCUUUCUGUGCUCUGCUGGUCUUACCAGGAACUCCUGCAGGAAAACUGAUCCCACUGAAAAAAAAUACUUGGCAAAAUAAUCACCGUUUUCUUCAAGCAGAUCAGCACUGGGCAGUAGUGAGCACCCUAAGCAUAGCACCUGUGGCCUGGCUGCCUGAACUGAACAUUUACCACUCAGCUGGGGUGGGGUCUCUGUUCUGCAUCUCUUCCCUGUUGUUUCCUUUGCUGUGCUUGCAAAACAGAUCUUUUGCCCUGUCCACUUCAGGGUCCUGCUGGCAAGACAACCACAGUGGUGGGAUCUGCUGCUGGCUGCAAGAUACUGGCACAAAAAUACAAAUACUGGAAGAUUUCACCUCUGCUGAGAAUCCUGGUUCCUUAGGUACUGGUGCAGGUGUAAGACAGCAUCCCUGCCAAAUGCUCAGCCUGGCCAGCCCUUCUAGCUCUUUGGGGUCUGGGGUUGUAUAUACACAUGUCCCAGGCUGGGCAUCUUUGGAAAGCUCACCUGUAACCAUCUAACAUACACAGGAUUCAUGGACAGCUAUCUCAUCUAGCCUCUUCCCCCAACAACACAACACUAGUGGCAGGUGCCCAGAGAAAGUGUAAGAAUGCAGCUCUAUUCCAUCACAGCAACUUGAAGCUAAAGGACUUCCCAAGGUUAUAUUUGCAUGCUUGCAUUUAGCAGUCAUAGGCAGAAUUCUUCAUGAGUUCAUAAUUUUCGUUAAUCUUCUUAUACAUGCUCCCCAAAAUAUACUUGAGACAUGGCUGCAGCCUUAUGAAGUCAAUCUGUUUAAAACAACCUGCUGACUUGGUGAUUUUGCAGAAGAUCAGCCAAUGCACAAAGACAAAAAUCUGAUAAUCACUUUCUAAUCAUUCACAAACAGUUUUAAGGAGUGCUCAUCCAAAAAAAAAAAAAAAAAAAA